GGCAGGAUGGCCGAGUGGUCUAAGGCGUUGGACUUGAAAUCCAAUGGGUUCUACCCGCGCAGGUUCAAACCCUGCUCCUGUCG
rfam:Catenaria anguillulae PL171 BCR44scaffold_2, whole genome shotgun sequence.